UACAAAAGGUAAUGUUACAAAACACACUGUAUGAGAUUUCUAGAGAUAAACGUGCCAGAAAGGUAGUGAUGAUAGAUGAGCUGACCACUUAACCAUCACCACCAAUAUAACUAAAAGUUCACCAUCAGUUGUUUUCAAUUCCCACAAUGAAAUAACAUUCAACAUUUCACUUAAUCCUCAUUAUCUCUCUAAAUUAGUAAAGGCUGCCAACCAUUACUCCCAUUCCUAUAUAAAAGACUUGAUGACUAAUGGAGGAUUUUUGUUUUGUUUUAUUCAUAGGUACCAACUGGUUAAUCUGAGAGAAAGACAACACAGGGCAGGCAAGUUCUAAGUCUCAGCAACUGCUGAGAGGGAGGAGACAGAAGAGGAAGAAAGUCCCAUGCCUUGGGUUCAGCAGGCAGCUGCCGUGGGAGGAGCUGGAGACACAGAGUAUCCAGACUGUGGAUGGAUCCAGAACCUUGGAUUCUUACACAGGCAAGCUGAAACCCAAGUUGCCAUCAACAAUGAAGCCAAAAGAGCCUACCCACUCUGAACCAAUCAGCCUCUGGCUAGAAAUUCCCCAUAUUUCCAGUAUUUUCUACCUUGUUUACUUCCAAGAGCCUUUUCUGCUUGGGCAUUUUGCCGAGCCCCAAGACGAGGCUACACUCUGACCUCCUAGGACCUAUGCGGACGUGAGUUCUAAGCCAGCCCAGAAGCUUCAAAGCUCAUGUGCUCUUCACUGGGACACAGCAGAGAGAAGUGCCACCACUGUUGCUGAGUUACACUACAAUCACAAAGCCACUGGUAUUCCCAAUUCUACUACUGUCUCCUUGGCUAAAACUGCCAUCAAUACAGCAGAAACCACCUAACUGGUUUCCUUCCUCCCAGGCUGUAGCUCUAACAACCCGGAGAAUCUUGACGAUUCCAUAAAACCUCUUAGCUGCCUACAUCUGCCCCAAAGUCUUGAUGCCCCUUGCACUCAUUAUCACCUCAUCCCAGCUGACUAGUCAAGGGCAGAAAACUGAGUCGCCUAUUCAUUCUUUCACUCAAAUAUUUGUCAGUGCCUACUAUGGUCCAAAUGCUGUCUUGCUGCAACAUGUACCUCUAAUGACAAUGAAACCUAUGAAGAGCAGAGGAAGGGAAGCUGCUAUCUUUAGAGGCCAGGGUGUCCAUGAAAUGGAAAGGCUGUAGAAGCAAGUUCUCGGUCGGGCGUUGGUAGCGUACACCUUUAAUCCCAGCACUCG